CUUUUUCAAUUUUUCUGAGAGAGUGAGAGAGAGAGAGAGAGAGACAACUAUUCUAUAUAGUUAAGGAUUUGAGAGAAACUAGUUACCGUUCUGUUAUGAGAUUAGGUGUCCUCGGGAUUUUUCUGAUAUAUUAUUCUCUUCAGGGUUUGAGCGUUUGAAUUUCGAAAUCAACAAUCGCGACGAUGGUGCAGCAGAAAGUUGAUUCCAUGGAGAUCGACCCUUCUACGAAGGAACGAAACCACUUUCUCUGCCUCCUUCCAUGAAAAAUACGAAAACAAGUUGCAGGACAUAUGGCCGGUGGUCGAAUCGUCUUUAGAAGACUAUGGCAUUGCAUGCGCUUUGAAUCUGGCCGAGCGUUCUUUGACAACCUCAACAACCAGAAGGACUAAGGGCCGAAAUUAUUUUAUCAAGGCUAGGCGUCUCGCUGAACUUUUGACAGCAACUCAUGUUCCACCACAUAUGGCAAUAGAAACACUAAAUGGUGAUCGGAGACAUAUCCUCAUCAAGAUUGGGAACAAGAGGGCGGACUUUGCUCAAAAUUUGGGAUAAAAAAGGAGAAAUUUAUCAAACAAUGGGAAUGUCUUGCCUGCUCCCUACAGGCACUUGCAGCACUGACGGGUUGCAAGCUUUUUCUUAAUGAAAACAAUCUUGCUGCAGUGGGUCCAGCUCCAUCAUUCUUGACGGUCAGGAAGGUUGUCAUUGACUGCAUUGUUAAUGACAUGAAUCCAGAAACUUGUAUGAGGGAGUUGACAACAGAAUCCUUACAGAUGCGUGCAAAGAAAUAUGGGGCGAUUGAACUUCAACAACCAAAUGUCGAUGACAUUGGAAUGGAGAAGUGUGGCCCUUUUUUGUAUUUAUAUGGCAUGCUUGAAGUAACCUCUUAUUCUUCAUGCGUCGUAAUAGGCCGAGUUACCUUAUUUACUUGUUAGGCAAUUUAGUGAUUUAGGGAAAUUGAAGAUUUUAUAGUAUCAUUUGGUGUCUGAAGCUUUUAGUUUUGAGCUGAAGGCAAAUCGCUUGUAUGAAUGCUUGCCAUAACAAUCCAUCAAGUUUUUGAUCCAUUUCAACCACUUAUGAUGAAAAAGGUUGAAGACUACUUAAUGGUGAAUAUUCAAGUGUUACAUAGUAUACAUGUAUUUUGGCAUUAACCUUGAGUCAUUUAACGCAUAUGCAUUAUAAGGGAAGUUUGCAUCUCCACUGGCUGUAUAAAAAUCAAUAUAAUUUUCCACGUGAACCUACUCUUCUGUGACUUCAUUUUUCUAUUAAUAAGUGACACUCUCACCAUUAUCCUUUUGCAUUGUUUUGUGCAGAAAAUGAGGUGCAAGAAGCUUGGCCUUUUGUGCACCGGUUUUUAAAAGGGCUGAGCGUAGCUUGACAAUAUCAACUACCAGAAGGACUAUGCAUCCAGAUAUUGUGGACCAGGCUGGGGCUUUUCUUGAACUUUUGUCUACAACUAGUAUUCAGAUCCUUUGUUAUUGUUUGCCCAGAAGUUACAAA